rnacentral:rRNA from 1 species
UACGUAGGGUGCAAGCGUUAAUCGGAAUACUGGGCGUAAAGCGUGCGCAGGCGGUUGUGCAAGACAGAUGUGAAAUCCCCGGGCUUAACCUGGGAACUGCAUUUGUGACUGCACGGCUAGAGUGCGGCAGAGGGGGAUGGAAUUCCGCGUGUAGCAGUGAAAUGCGUAGAUAUGCGGAGGAACACCGAUGGCGAAGGCAAUCCCCUGGGCCUGCACUGACGCUCAUGCACGAAAGCGUGGGGAGCAAACAGG